rnacentral:tRNA from 2 species
GCCUGUUUGGCUCAGUGGAUAGAGCAUUGGCCUGUGAACUCAAGGGUCCUAGGUUCGAUUCCGGUCAAGGGCA